rnacentral:rRNA from 1 species
UACGUAGGGUGCAAGCGUUGUCCGGAAUUAUUGGGCGUAAAGAGCUCGUAGGCGGUUUGUCGCGUCGAAUGUGAAAACCCGGGGCUCAACCCCGGGCCUGCAUUCGAUACGGGCAGACUAGAGUUCGGUAGGGGAGUCUGGAAUUCCUGGUGUAGCGGUGAAAUGCGCAGAUAUCAGGAGGAACACCGGUGGCGAAGGCGGGACUCUGGGCCGAUACUGACGCUGAGGAGCGAAAACGUGGGGAGCAAACAGG